rnacentral:rRNA from 1 species
GAUGAACGCUGGCGGCGUGCCUAAUACAUGCAAGUCGAGCGAACGGACGAGAAGCUUGCUUCUCUGAUGUUAGCGGCGGACGGGUGAGUAACACGUGGAUAACCUACCUAUAAGACUGGGAUAACUUCGGGAAACCGGAGCUAAUACCGGAUAAUAUUUUGAACCGCAUGGUUCAAAAGUGAAAGACGGUCUUGCUGUCACUUAUAGAUGGAUCCGCGCUGCAUUAGCUAGUUGGUAAGGUAACGGCUUACCAAGGCAACGAUGCAUAGCCGACCUGAGAGGGUGAUCGGCCACACUGGAACUGAGACACGGUCCAGACUCCUACGGGAGGCAGCAGUAGGGAAUCUUCCGCAAUGGGCGAAAGCCUGACGGAGCAACGCCGCGUGAGUGAUGAAGGUCUUCGGAUCGUAAAACUCUGUUAUUAGGGAAGAACAUAUGUGUAAGUAACUGUGCACAUCUUGACGGUACCUAAUCAGAAAGCCACGGCUAACUACGUGCCAGCGGCCGCGGUAAUACGUAGGUGGCAAGCGUUAUCCGGAAUUAUUGGGCGUAAAGCGCGCGUAGGCGGUUUUUUAAGUCUGAUGUGAAAGCCCACGGCUCAACCGUGGAGGGUCAUUGGAAACUGGAAAACUUGAGUGCAGAAGAGGAAAGUGGAAUUCCAUGUGUAGCGGUGAAAUGCGCAGAGAUAUGGAGGAACACCAGUGGCGAAGGCGACUUUCUGGUCUGUAACUGACGCUGAUGUGCGAAAGCGUGGGGAUCAAACAGGAUUAGAUACCCUGGUAGUCCACGCCGUAAACGAUGAGUGCUAAGUGUUAGGGGGUUUCCGCCCCUUAGUGCUGCAGCUAACGCAUUAAGCACUCCGCCUGGGGAGUACGACCGCAAGGUUGAAACUCAAAGGAAUUGACGGGGACCCGCACAAGCGGUGGAGCAUGUGGUUUAAUUCGAAGCAACGCGAAGAACCUUACCAAAUCUUGACAUCCUUUGACAACUCUAGAGAUAGAGCCUUCCCCUUCGGGGGACAAAGUGACAGGUGGUGCAUGGUUGUCGUCAGCUCGUGUCAUGAGAUGUUGGGUUAAGUCCCGCAACGAGCGCAACCCUUAAGCUUAGUUGCCAUCAUUAAGUUGGGCACUCUAAGUUGACUGCCGGUGACAAACCGGAGGAAGGUGGGGAUGACGUCAAAUCAUCAUGCCCCUUAUGAUUUGGGCUACACACGUGCUACAAUGGACAAUACAAAGGGCAGCGAAACCGCGAGGUCAAGCAAAUCCCAUAAAGUUGUUCUCAGUUCGGAUUGUAGUCUGCAACUCGACUACAUGAAGCUGGAAUCGCUAGUAAUCGUAGAUCAGCAUGCUACGGUGAAUACGUUCCCGGGUCU